UACAGAGGGUGCGAGCGUUUAAUCGGAAUUACUGGGCGUAAAGCGUGCGUAGACGGUUAUUUAAGUCGGGUGUGAAAGCCCCGGGCUCAACCUGGGAAUUGCAUUCGAGACUGAAUAGCUAGGGUACGGUAGAGGGAAGUGGAAUUUCCGGUGUAGCGGUGAAAUGCGUAGAUAUCGGAAGAACAUCAGUGGCGAAAGCGACUUCCUGGACCAGUACCGACGUUCAGGCACGAAAGCGUGGGGAGCAAACAG
rnacentral:rRNA from 1 species